AGCGAACGUUAGCGGCGGGCCUAACACAUGCAAGUCGAACGCGAAAGGUCUUCGGACUGAGUAGAGUGGCGCACGGGUGAGUAACACGUAGGUAAUCUACCCUUUGGCGGGGAUAACGUUCCGAAAGGAGCGCUAAUACCGCAUAAGACCACGGAGUCUCCGGACGCUGUGGGAAAAGGUGGCCUCUUCUUGAAAGCUACCACCGAAGGAUGAGCCUGCGUCCCAUCAGCUAGUUGGUAAGGUAAUGGCUUACCAAGGCGAAGACGGGUAGCUGGUCUGAGAGGAUGAUCAGCCACACGGGCACUGAGACACGGGCCCGACUCCUACGGGAGGCAGCAGUAGGGAAUAUUGGACAAUGGGCGCAAGCCUGAUCCAGCCAUCCCGCGUGAAGGAUUAAGGCCCUCUGGGUUGUAAACUUCUUUUCUUUGGGAAUAAAAACUCCGUUUCUACGGAGCUUGAAGGUACCAGAGGAAUAAGCACCGGCUAACUCCGUGCCAGCAGCCGCGGUAAU
rnacentral:rRNA from 1 species